CGUGCCUAACACAUGCAAGUCGAACGGAGAGGUUAUGAACAAGGCUUCGGCCAAGUGAGUAAUUUCUAGUGGCGACGGGUGAGUAACGCGUGAGCAAUCUGCCUUUCAGAGGGGGAUAACGUUCUGAAAAGAACGCUAAUACCGCAUAAUGUAUUUUGAUGGCAUCAUCGAGAUACCAAAGAUUUAUCGGCAAAGGAUGGGCCUGCGUCUGAUUAGCUAGUUGGUGGGGUAACGGCCUACCAAGGCGACGAUCAGUAGCCGACCUGAGAGGGUGAUCGGCCACAUUGGAACUGAGACACGGUCCAAACUCCUACGGGAGGCAGCAGUGGGGAAUAUUGCACAAUGGGCGAAAGCCUGAUGCAGCAACGCCGCGUGAAGGAAGAAGGUCUUCGGAUCGUAAACUUCUGUCCUUAGGGAAGAUAAUGACGGUACCUUUGGAGGAAGCCCCGGCUAACUACGUG
rnacentral:rRNA from 1 species